UGGGAUGCAACCAGGUGACUCUUUGCCCAGGAAACGAGACAAAGACAAGGAGGAGGAGCAAUGGGGGUGUCUGACUUUGGGUCGCUGGAAGCUGGCAGUCUGCUUGGGGGGACCCGAAGAGGGGGAGUUCAGGGCAUCUGGCCCAUGACUCCCUAAGGUGGACUUGGCCGAAAGUCACUGAUUUCUGUGCUAAUGAGUUCUGUUCUACACCGUGUUUCUGUCGAAUAAUAAACCUUUUGUUUUACUGGUUGGCUGAGAGUCACGCUGACUGUGGAGCUGGGGGGCAGGGCCCUCUGGCUUCCCCAGAAGCCCCGUCCGGGCAGACUUGCUGCGGGAAGCCCACGGUGUGGAAGGGGAUGCUGAAUGCUUCGAAGUCAGACCCAAGAAGGUCAAAGUUGUGUGAGCUUCUUGCCCUGGUGGCAGUGUGUCAUGGAGUGUGGCGGAGUCAGGGCCCUGCACCCCCACUUCCUGCGAUUCACCGUGACUCUCAGCCAGCCAGUAAAACAGAAAGUUUAUUGGACGACUGGAACACAGUCCCAAGCAGAGAUGGGAGAGGGAGGCAGGGAUGAGGGCAAGAUUAAACACACCGAGAGAGCUCUGUGUAGUGAUGGUUCUUGCUUGGCUUUAUUAGUUUGCAGAGGAAUCGUUGAGAAGCCCUAGUCGGAGGAGAAGCUGGCAGAAGUGGACCUGAGCAUCCUUCUAAGGAGACAUGAAUAGUCCUCAUGUUUCUGCCUUCUGCUUAACUGGCUUCCCAAGGGAAAAGAAGACAAGCGUCGGAGUCUACUGCCCUCAUGCGAUGGAAAGAGAGCGACAAGAUCGUGGGCGUUGUUGAUGCCAUGGAAAAGUCGUCCAACUGGGAGCGGAAGAGCUGCCACCCUCGGUGAGGAGCGGUGUGUCCUCUGCAGCAGAAGGUUCGAUCCAGGAGGAUGACUCCAGGUGGAUACUGGGAGGCAUGUUAGGUGUGCAUCCCCACAGGCUGUGUCUCGGGAGCCAUGAAGAAGUAGGAGUGGAUGAUAAUCAUGCAGGGCAGUGCGUGCGAGAGUGGAGCAGUGACUGUCGGUAUUAACUUGGUCUCUGUUCAUCAAGUGGGGCCAAUGUAGAUGGAAUGGAAGAGGGAGGCAGGAAUGAGGGGAAGAUCUCAGGCACCAAUAGAGCUUUGUGUAGCGAUGGCUUCUGCUGCUGCUCUUGCAGAGGAAUUGCUGAGGAGCCCUAGCCAGAGGAGAAAGUGGCAGAGAUGGACCUGAGCAGCUUGGACAUUGUUCUUAGCAGACGUGAACAGUCCUCCACUUUCUGCCUCCCGCUUAACUGGCUGUGAUACCAAGGGAAAAGAAGUCGCGUGCCAGAGUCUACUGCCCUCAUGCGAUGGAAAGCGAGUGACAGUGAUAAGACCGUGAGUAUUGUUGAUGCCACGCAAAAGCUGUCCAACUGGGAGCAGAACUGCUGCCACUCUGAGAUAAGUGUCUGUUUUGGUGAUUGCUCUGCUCGUGGCCCACCUGGCUCCAGGUAUGGACGCUCCUUUAGCUAAGGCUGGGUUUGUAAGGAAAGGUUCCUGACUAGCUGUUGUUAUGAGGGAGACAAGGUCCCCAUUUUCAGGGGCUGCUCAUUUCUCUGGCCAGGAGCAGUGUGUCCUCCGCAGCAGAAGGUUGCAUCUAGGAGGAUGACUUCAUGUGUUGAGUUGCUUGCCUUCCUCCAAUGUUUUUCUCUUUCUUUCUCUCUACUCUAAUGUGUUGGCCAGCUCUCUGUCUCCUCUCCUCUCCUUGUGCUGUCUCCCUUCUUAGGACGCAGGCAGGGGUACUAGGUUUGCAUCCCGACAGGUGAGGUCUCGGGAGCCCUGGAGAAGUUGGAGCAGAUGAAAAUCAUGCGUGGCAGUCGGUGUUGACUCGGUCAUCGAGUGGGGCCAGUGUAGAUGGGUUUGGAGAGGGAGGCAGGGAUGAGGGCAAGAUUUCAAGCACCGGUAGAGCUUUGUGUACUGAUGGCUCAUGCUUGGCUUUUGCAGCUGCUCUUGCAGAGGAAUUGUCCAGGAGCCCAGCCAGAGGAGAAGGUGCAGAGGUGUAGCUGAGCAGCUUGGGCAUCCUUCUAAGGAGACAUGAACAGUCCUCCCCUUUCUGCCUCCCGCAUAACUGGCUGUAUGUAAGCAGUCAGUGAUUGGAAUUCCUCCUCUGUAGUUGUUUUUUGUCACAGGCAGUGUGCUUGCUUAUUGAAUAUGGGGCUCUUUGGUAUUUAAGGCUGGGGAAGGUAUCACACUUACAGUUGCCAUCUUUCACGGGGUAAAUAAGCACCCCGACUUUCACAAUAAACCAAAAAUCAAGCUAAUCCCAUUUCAAAACAAGGAAUCUGUAAGAACCCAAACACUCUGUGACUAGAUCCCCCCGGUGUGCAGUCUGGGAGUGUGGUGGGCCCACUGUGCACCCCUGAUUCUCUCCCCCACUUUGCCUCUCCUUGCCCUGUGCCCUUGCUUGCCAGGAGCCAAUUUAAAAAAAAGAAGUAACAAACUGCAAGGUAAACAAGCAACAAGCCAGCAUCCAAAAACUCGCCAAGAAGCAACUCUCAAGCCAAUUAAGUGAAAAACAAGCCCAAUUUCUGCAUUUUCCCCACAGGUUUGGUAUUUUUUACCAGAGUCUGCUGUGCAGAGUGACUAUUUUGGGUGUCAUUGCUGGGGUGCUUCUACUUGUAGUCCUGAAGGUGUAAUGGGAAGGGGGUUGAGGGCAGAGCCCUGGGGUGUGUUAGAUGCAAGAAGAAGAGCUUAUGCCACAUUGCCAUCUGAGAGGCUAACUUCUUUGUUUUUCUCCCUUGUGCUGGGUUUGGUACCAAGGGGAAAGAAGCCAAAUGACAGAGUUUACUCCACUCGUAUGAUGGAAAGCAAGCGAGAGCAGGGAGACUGUGAGCCUUGUUGAAAUGAGGCUGGAGCCGUACAUUUGGGAGUGGAGCAGCCACCAGUGUCAGUGAGAUAAGUGAUAUAUUUUAUGCGAGAUAGUCUUUUAAGGUAUCAUUGGAAAGGUUAUAAUUUACUGCAUGUGAUUAUCCAAUUUGGAUGCAUGUAUCAUUUCUGUAUCUAAAGUUGGAAAUAUUGACUAUGUAACAAUUACAACCGGGUGUAUACUUGGGAAACACCCACCAGACAACACGCCAUCAGCCUUGAUGGGCCAUUAGGAAGAAACAAUAAGACUGUGAAAGACACUAAUCUCUCUCCUUCCUGAGACGCAUCCUGGGAUGUAGCUGUGAUGCUACUAGGUCAGGUGGUCCUGUCACCUGGUACUAAAUGCUAUGUUGGACUUCUAGUAAUUUUCCACUAAAAGGAGGGGGAGGUCAAGACUGGGAAACAAAAGAUUCCCGCCUUAUGUAAAUCUUACUUAAGGCUGGGGAGUAAUGCAAACAGGUCUCUUCUCCGUUGCCUUCUUGUCAAAGCAGAAAGACUGCUAAAAGUACCUGAAGGGACAAAGGAACCGAGCAGGGGGAAAGUCCAGGGCUGAGUCCAGACUAAGACAGCAGUCUGCUCUGUAAAGAGAAAUAACUGGAAAUCUCAGCUACAGAAACCCUGCAACUUGCCUAAAAACAACGUUUAGGGUGAGAAAUCACUUCCUGAGUCCAGUCUCUUUAAGAUCUUAGGCUUAGUAUUGCAUGUUUGUUUUAUUUGCUUAGUAAUCUGCCUUUUUCUGUUUGCUAUCCCUUACAAUCACUUUAAAUCUUCUUCCCUUAUAGUUAAUAAUAAACAAAAACAAGUUCAUUAAACCCAGUUUGUGCAAUUUCUAACGGGGGUGGGGCAAAAGUUGUGCAUAUCUUCCUCCACAUUGAGGGAGGGGGUGAAUUUAUGAGCUUAUGUUGUAUAGAUUUCUCUACGGCCCAAGACAAUAUUAUUUUGGGUGUACUUUCCAGAGGGGAACUGCACUUGAGUGCUGGGAGAUAUCAUAGCUGAGUCUUCUCGUAGAGAGCUGUUGACAGACUCUGUGCGAUUCUACAGCUGGUGCGUCCCUACGUGUGUGUGUGUGUGUGUGUGCUGCCAGAGGCUGGAGAGCCUAAGUCAGCAAAACAAGGAGAGGGAGGCCAGGCUAGUGCAGCAGCAGGCUCAGAGAAAUCCCAGUACAUCAGGUGGCAUCCCAGAAUGGGGGUCAAA